AGAGUUUGAUCCUGGCUCAGAUUGAACGCUGGCGGCAUGCUUUACACAUGCAAGUCGAACGGCAGCAUAGAGAGCUUGCUCUCUGAUGGCGAGUGGCGAACGGGUGAGUAAUACAUCGGAACGUGUCCGUUUGUGGGGGACAACCACCCGAAAGGGUGGCUAAUACCGCAUAAGACCUGAGGGUGAAAGCCGGGGACCGCAAGGCCUGGCGCGAACGGAGCGGCCGAUGACUGAUUAGCUGGUUGGCGGGGUAAAGGCCCACCAAGGCGACGAUCAGUAGCUGGUCUGAGAGGACGACCAGCCACACUGGAACUGAGACACGGUCCAGACUCCUACGGGAGGCAGCAGUGGGGAAUUUUGGACAAUGGGGGCAACCCUGAUCCAGCCAUGCCGCGUGCGGGAAGAAGGCCUUCGGGUUGUAAACCGCUUUUGUCAGGGACGAAAAGGUGCGGGUUAAGAGCUAGCACUGAUGACGGUACCUGAAGAAUAAGCACCGGCUAACUACGUGCCAGCAGCCGCGGUAAUACGUAGGGUGCGAGCGUUAAUCGGAAUUACUGGGCGUAAAGCGUGCGCAGGCGGUUGGGUAAGACAGAUGUGAAAUCCCCGGGCUUAACCUGGGAACUGCAUUUGUGACUGUCCGACUGGAGUAUGUCAGAGGGGGGUGGAAUUCCAAGUGUAGCAGUGAAAUGCGUAGAUAUUUGGAAGAACACCGAUGGCGAAGGCAGCCCCCUGGGGCAAAACUGACGCUCAUGCACGAAAGCGUGGGGAGCAAACAGGAUUAGAUACCCUGGUAGUCCACGCCCUAAACGAUGUCUACUGGUUGUUGGAGGGUAAAACCUUCAGUAACGAAGCUAACGCGUGAAGUAGACCGCCUGGGGAGUACGGUCGCAAGAUUAAAACUCAAAGGAAUUGACGGGGACCCGCACAAGCGGUGGAGCAUGUGGUUUAAUU
rnacentral:rRNA from 2 species